AGCUGCAUAGCUCAGGGGAAGAGUGAGUUCGCUUUACGUCCACCAAAAAAAAUCCAAUAAAUACUAACCAAAUACAGGCGCCGGGCUCAUAAAUUAGCAACCCGGAGGUCCAAGGAUCGAAACCUUGUGCAGCUA